CACUUACCCACCAACGAUCUGCUGCCGCAGCCGCUCCAGGUCCUCCGCUCCUCCGGUCCCUGCCACCACUGCUCCUUCAGAGAUCCAGAUCAAGGACGAAUACAGGAAGCUGAAAGCAGAACAGCUCUAAAGUUCUCUGUGGCUGUCAGUGCAGUGAAACAUCUAAAUUGAUCUCAUUUUAGUGAAUAUAGUCUGGGCCAGACAAAUUCUGUUAAAAAAGAUCAGAAAAGAAAAGAAAUAACCAUCUUUGAUAUGAAUGUGAACAGCUACCCUGGAGCCGCAAACAACAUCUUCAUCCC